rnacentral:tRNA from 1 species
CGACACGUGGCGUAACCGGCAACCGCCCCCGGCUUAGACCCGGGCGUCCCGCGAGGGUUUUGGGGGUUCGAUUCCCCCCGUGUCGA